rnacentral:misc_RNA from 1 species
GAUGAAGAACGCAGUGAAAUGCGAUACUUGGUGUGAAUUGCAGAAUCCCGUGAACCAUCGAGUCUUUGAACGCAAGUUGCGCCCGAAGCCAUCAGGUUGAGGGCACGUCUGCCUGGGCGUCACAUAUCGUUGCCCAAUGCCUAUUGCAGUGCAAUAGGAAUUUCUAGGGCGAAUGAUGGCUUCCCGUGAGCGUUGUUGCCUCGCGGUUGGUUGAAAAUCGAGUCCUUGGUAGGGUGUGCCAUGGUAGAUGGUGGUCGAGUUAGAACGAUACCGAUCAUGUGCAUGCUCCCCAAAAUAUGGCCUCUAUGACCCACACGCGUCUUUUGACGCUCAUGACGAGACCUCAGGUCAGGCGGGGCUACCCGCUGAAUUUAAGCAUAUCAAUAGCGGAGGA